rnacentral:lncRNA from 1 species
CGAGGAGAUCUUUUCAUAAUAAUAAUAAAACAACUUUUACCAAAGCACACUGCACGGUGGCGAGGCUCGCGCAGGCUGCAGCAGCCCCUGGACCUCCUGCAUCGCGGGCUCCCGGGCCUGGCUCUGCAGCGCCGGGACCGAGACCACCCGCUCCGAGCCCGGCUCCGCAGAGGCGGGGCCCCGGCCGUGCGAGCCUGGGGCCCCAGCGCACGCGCGCUCACGGUCCUCAGGUCGGGCCACGGGAGCAAAGCUUUGCGGACAGCGCCCCCUGCCGUCCUGCGGCGCCCUGGGCCCUGCGCCUGCGAACGGCUCUGGCCAAACCCCAAAACCCGGCUCCUGGUGCUGUCGAGUUGCACAGGGAGUACUGGAUCUUAGAGACUAGGGGGCAACUCGCCACAGCCCUGUCCUCCACCCAAAUUCCGAAGCUCCCUGUCCGCACGCAGAAUUGGGGCCUCCCGUUUGCGAGGAACUGACUUUGGAGGAAACUAAGUCACAAGAGGAUCUUAAAACCCGAGACCAGGCAUGGGAACCUCACAAAACGCAGUGGCUGUUUGCUGGCCGUCCCUACUUGAAAUCUUCUGCCAGGGGUCUCAGACCCUGGCUCCUCCAGGCCUUCACAAGGCGCACAGAGAGACCACUGACACUGGGUGCUCACUGGUUGGGGGCUCAGGCUCACCCAGAGGAAGAUCCACUCGGCUGGCCUGGGAGGAGACCACCAAGAUCAGAAGGCACCCAGACCCUCCACCACCCAUUCCACAGGAGCCAGGCUGCUUCUGAACAGGCUGCUCUGAGCUGGGUUCUGCCCUACUCCCGCUUCCAUUUAGCUCCCAUCUGCUCUGCGCUCAAGUAUUGUGAUGCAAAUUAUAAAAGCACUCUUAGCUCACAUAUUUCAUUAACGAUCUGAGGGACUGGACCAGUGCAUGGGGGAACAAAUCUCAUUUGCAAGUUAAUCAAAAUAAAGACUGUGGAGCUAAUAAAACUCCUCUGAGCCAUUAUACAUUCAGGAACAACAUCUAAGUCCUGAAAUGUGUUUUAAAGAGUUUUUCCUAAAGUGAUUAAGCUGCUUUAGUGUAUAUAUUAUCAUUUGAAUGGCUCCUGCUGGUAUUUUUAAGAAUCCCUCCCCCAGGUUGGAAACAAAUUGGAAUGCUGUUACACACACCUGGGGCCCCUCAGCCUGCUCCUGAGAUGAAUGGAGGAGCUGCCCCUCAGUGUCCCCAGCCCCUGGGGCACCUGGGGCUACUUCCUGCCUGCCCCCAGAAGCCUUGUCCAGCCCACCCAGAGCUCCGGGCUCCACCACUUACUGUUUCAAUGACCUAAAGCAAGUUUCUUUGUCACUCUAAGCCUUG